UACGGAGGGGACUAGCGUUGCUCGGAAUUACUGGGCGUAAAGCGCGCGUAGGCGGAUUUGCAAGUCGGGGGUGAAAGCCCGAGGCUCAACCUCGGAACUGCCCUCGAUACUGCAAAUCUCGAGUCCGAGAGAGGUGAGUGGAAUUCCUAGUGUAGAGGUGAAAUUCGUAGAUAUUAGGAAGAACACCAGUGGCGAAGGCGGCUCACUGGCUCGGUACUGACGCUGAGGCGCGAAAGCGUGGGGAGCAAACAGG
rnacentral:rRNA from 1 species